rnacentral:lncRNA from 1 species
GAUGGACAUUUCUGGGCAGAAAAGAAUGUUCACAAACAAAAUGAAAAGCUAAGGUCCUUGAAUCCUUGGCCUAAUCAUGAGAGAGCUUCCAGGGGUAGCCUUAACAGAGUCCUAACAUGAUUUUUUUCCCUCCCACAGAUUUGAUACUACUAAAAAUCAAAGUUUAAUUGUCUAACUGCCAGAUUACAGCAUCAUUGGAAAUUGCAGCGUGGCCGGUUUUCUCAUAUGAAAGCUAAGCCUUUGAAUCUGGAAGGAGGAACCUCAAACUUAAAAUGGGACACAAAGUUGGACUGAACCUGACAACCUUGAACCCCUGAGUUUUCCCUGACAGUGGAGGGAGCUUGUCUUUCUCUGAGGAGCCUGGAGCAGCCUUGGGUGAGGAAUGGGAUCCAGCAACUGUUGAUCAAAGGAGGAGGCAACCAUGGAGGAGGACGCAGAUGAGACAUUAGCACUGAGAAAAGAACCUGAGGCCUUGUCACGUUUGCAUACUAAAUGGAACCACACAGUGCACAGAACUGUGAACUUGGAGGCAGGUGGCUUAGACUCUAAUUCAGUUUUUUACCUGUUCAUCCCAUGAACUAGAAAAAAACUCUCUUUCAGCUUCCGCAUAUCCACCCAAACAAUAGUGAGUAAUCUCUUCUCUUUAUUGGAUCAAUUUAAGGAUUCACAGAGAAUGUAAACCAUCUUUUGU